UACGGAGGGUGCAAGCGUUGUCCGGAAUCACUGGGCGUAAAGGGCGCGUAGGCGGCUCAUGAAGGCUGUGGUGAAAGUCCGGGGCUCAACCUCGGAUCGGCCGUGGCGACUCGUGGGCUGGAGCACUGUAGAGGCGGGUGGAAGUCCGGGUGUAGCGGUGGAAUGCGUAGAGAUCCGGAAGAACACCGGUGGCGAAGGCGGUCUGCUGGGCAGUAGCUGACACUGAGGCGCGACAGCGUGGGGAGCAAACAGG
rnacentral:rRNA from 1 species